CCGAUUCAUUUCUUGAGAUUUUUGAUCCAGGAGGCCCUCUCAACUGCAAGUCUCGAGGGUCUUCUGGUAGAACAGAGGUAGGGAUCCUCCGGGGGUGGAAUAAUGAUCGGACAUAGGACUCUCCACCAUUUGCUUCCCCUUUUCGGGGAAGACGGGGUGACUUGCACAAGUGGCCCGCCCGAUCACUGAAUUCUGAAACUCUGACGAUGCUCUUUCUAGCCGCACUGAUGCUUGCGGUUGCUGCGGCUGCUGCUGCAUGGCCUACACUGCUUCGGUGAGGCCCCUG
rnacentral:lncRNA from 1 species